AACGAACGCUGGCGGCAUGCCUAACACAUGCAAGUCGAACGAGAACUCCGGGUUUUGUGGCGCUUGGGUGCGUAACGAGUGGGAAGUUGCACUUAGGUACGGAAUACUUCCCUGUAAGGGGUGCUAAUAUCGGAUAAUGUAUUCGGAUAAAAGAUUUAUCGCCCUUGGAUGGGCCCGCGUUGGAUUAGCCGGUUGGUAGGGUAAAAGCCUAUCACGGCGACGUUCCAUAGCUGGUCUGAGAGGAAGAUCAGCAACACUUGGGAUAAGACACGGCCCAGACUCCUACGCAAGGGAGCAGUGGGGAAUAUUGUACGAGGGACGAAAGCCUGAUCCAGCAAUGCCGGGUGAGUGAUGAAGGCCUUAGGGUUGUGAAGCUCUUUUACCCGAAGUGAUAAUGACGGUACCGGGAGAAUAAGCACCGGCUAACUCCGUG
rnacentral:rRNA from 1 species